UUAACACAUGCAAGUCGAGGGGCAGCAUGGUCUUAGCUUGCUAAGGCCGAUGGCGACCGGCGCACGGGUGAGUAACACGUAUCCAACCUGCCGUCUACUCUUGGACAGCCUUCUGAAAGGAAGAUUAAUACAAGAUGGCAUCAUGAGUCCGCAUGUUCACAUGAUUAAAGGUAUUCCGGUAGACGAUGGGGAUGCGUUCCAUUAGAUAGUAGGCGGGGUAACGGCCCACCUAGUCUUCGAUGGAUAGGGGUUCUGAGAGGAAGGUCCCCCACAUUGGAACUGAGACACGGUCCAAACUCCUACGGGAGGCAGCAGUGAGGAAUAUUGGUCAAUGGGCGAGAGCCUGAACCAGCCAAGUAGCGUGAAGGAUGACUGCCCUAUGGGUUGUAAACUUCUUUUAUAAAGGAAUAAAGUCGGGUAUGGAUACCCGUUUGCAUGUACUUUAUGAAUAAGGAUCGGCUAACUCCGUGCCAGCAGCCGCGGUAAUACGGAGGAUCCGAGCGUUAUCCGGAUUUAUUGGGUUUAAAGGGAGCGUAGAUGGAUGUUUAAGUCAGUUGUGAAAGUUUGCGGCUCAACCGUAAAAUUGCAGUUGAUACUGGAUAUCUUGAGUGCAGUUGAGGCAGGCGGAAUUCGUGGUGUAGCGGUGAAAUGCUUAGAUAUCACGAAGAACUCCGAUUGCGAAGGCAGCCUGCUAAGCUGCAACUGACAUUGAGGCUCGAAAGUGUGGGUAUCAAACAGGAUA
rnacentral:rRNA from 1 species